rnacentral:lncRNA from 1 species
AAGACUCGGGGAGUCUGUCUCUUUUUCCUAUUUUCUCCGACUCCUUGUUUGUCCAACGCACUUUAUUCCAUGGCAUGACAACCUAAUAAUGGGAAAAAAUCAAGUGGCUUUAGAAAAAGUGAAAGGGCAUUAUUAUUUGCACUCACGGGUUCAUUCAGUUUUUUUAUUUCAAUUCCUACUGGGCUCCAUCACUUGCUUAUAGAAAAAUGCCUCUCAUGCUUUGAUGCUCCACUGAAAGUCGAUGGUUUUUCAGGAAAUGAGGCUCAAUUUUCUAAUACAUUCGAAGACUUCCACAUAUCAACUCCGGUAGGUUCCAAGAAAACACUGCGAAGAGCGAUGGCGCUCUGGAAAAGAAGUCGUGAUUUCGUGGAAGCAAAAGUGAUCUUUCUUUGCAUCUCCUGUCUAUCCCGAGGAGCCUGAAUCAGUGAACAGUUCUUUUAGGACAAAUUAAGUCAGUCGACCGUUUCUCUUAGAAAUUGCCAACGGGGAGAGGUAACUGGAAAGUUGCAAUUUCAAACAAAGUUGCAAUUUUUUCUCUUUUUUUUUAGGCUUAAAAGAAGUCUUGGUCUUUUUAUGUUAGUUCUUCACUUAACUUUAAAGGACUCCCAUCACCAUCUCAUCUUACCAACAACGUGGACUUGAGUAAAGACUAGGAAUGCAUUUGCUGAUGUUUAAUUUUGUUAGACACAUGACAGGUAUUGUUCCAAUUGGCUCAAUCUUCUCUAGAGCUUUUGUUUAUCAGAUUAAAAAAUAAUGAAUCUACUGUCUGCUUCCGCGUUUCAUGCUCACUUCAUACAAAACCUACAUCACUUGGGUUCAUUUCAUAUUUUUCAGAAGUUUCCUUGAUAAAUAAAGAGAAGACGAAGACUCGGGGAGUCUGUCUCUUUUUCCUAUUUUCUCCGACUCCUUGUUUGUCCAACGCACUUUAUUCCAUGGCAUGACAACCUAAUAAUGGGAAAAAAUCAAGUGGCUUUAGAAAAAGUGAAAGGGCAUUAUUAUUUGCACUCACGGGUUCAUUCAGUUUUUUAUUUCAAUUCCUACUGAGCUUCAUCACUUGCUUAUAGAAAAAUGCCUCUCAUGCUUUGAUGCUCCACUGAAAAUCGAUGGUUUUUCAGGAAAUGAGGCUCAAGUUUCUAAUACAUUCGAAGACUUCUACAAAUCAACUCCGUUAGGUUCCAAGAAAACACUGCGAAGAGCGAUGGCCCUCUGGAAAAGGAGUCGUGAUUUCGUGAAAGCGUGCAAAAGUGAUAUUUCUUUGCAUCUCCAGUCUAUCCCGAGGAGCCUGAAUCAGUGAACAGUUCUUUUAGGACAAAUAAAGUCAGUCGACCGUUUCUCUUGGAAAUUGCCAACAGCGCCAGGUAACUGGAAAGUUGCAAUUUCGAACAAGCAAAAAAGCUUGAGAUCGCUUCGAUAGCCAAAGAUCCGCAGGAAUGGAACGUCUCAGAGGAAAGUCUCUCCCCAUUAAUGGUGAAUCCUCAUCGUUGUCAAGGGAGGACUACGAGGUGUUCUUGAACUUUAGAGGGCCCGAUACUCGCUUAACCAUCACAGAUUCUCUCUACGCAGCCAUGAUCCGGGCUGGGAUACGGGUCUUCAAAGACGACGAAGAGCUCCGUGUUGGGGAAGAGAUCGGAGGCGAGCUUCUGAGAGCAAUCUCCAAUUCAAGAAUCUACGUACUGAUCUUCUCUAAAGACUAUGCUUCCAGUAAAUGGUGCCUCCGUGAGCUCGCGUACAUGAUGGAGUGUAGGAAGAGAGAGGAGAAAGUGGUCUUGCCCAUAUUCUACGAGGUGGAUGCAUCCGAUGUUAAACUCAAAACUGGAUUGUACAGUAAGGCCCUACAAAAGCAUGGGAGAGAGUCUGGUGAAGAUACGU